UACAACAGACUUGUUUUGUACCA
rnacentral:siRNA from 1 species